GAUGAACGCUAGCGGGAGGCUUAAUACAUGCAAGUCGAGCGGUAACUCUGAGUAGCAAUACGAAGAGCUAGAGCGGCGCACGGGUGAGUAACGCGUACAUAACCUACCCUUUACUGGGGGAAAGUCACGGGAAACUGUGAAUAAUACCGCAUAGUAUUAAUAAUCUGCAUGGAUUAUUAAUUAAAGAUUUAUUGGUAAGGGAUGGGUGUGCGUCUGAUUAGCUAGUUGGUAGGGUAACGGCCUACCAAGGCGAUGAUCAGUAGGGGGCGUGAGAGCGUGAUCCCCCACACGGGUACUGAGACACGGACCCGACUCCUACGGGAGGCAGCAGUAAGGAAUAUUGGUCAAUGGACGAAAGUCUGAACCAGCCAUCCCGCGUGCAGGAAGAAGGGGCUCUGCCUUGUAAACUGCUUUUGAAUGGGACGAAAGAUACAUUUGCGAAUGUAGUUGACGGUACCAUUAGAAUAAGCACCGGCUAACUCCGUG
rnacentral:rRNA from 1 species